rnacentral:rRNA from 3 species
CAGACCUCUAAUCGGAAAAGACUACCCGCUGAGUUUAAGCAUAUCACUAAGCGGAGGAGAAGAAAC